CUGAGGUUAUCAGUUUACGAUUCCAUUCUGUACCCAUGACAUUGAAAACUAUAUCUUAUGUGUGCUGUGAUUGAGACAGACAUGCUCCUAUGGAGGUCUGGUGUGUUAGGGGAGGAAACAUUGAGUGAAACGGCAGGGCUUGUGGGGGGCAAAUGCUCCCUGAUCUAUGCUGGUCCUGCCACUGUGUGUGUUGCAUUCAGAAGAAGCAGAACGGAUAUUAGUGGUUUACUCAAAUAAGUACUAUUUCAUGAAUCUGAAUGAUCAGUUGUGUUUGUCCUCGUUAUUCAUGUAUUCUAAGUGACUGGUUGUUAAUUUUUUUUUUGUUGGUGGUGGGAACGCGAGACUUUGGUGUUGUGUUGGAUUUUUCCUAAUGAGUAUGUAGACCCAUAACAGGGGAAACAUUUCGGCAAGUUCUAAAUUGUCUGUCUCUACUAGUAACUUUGCAUCAAUUUCUUGCUAUGUUUGAAAAUGAUGGAUGUCAAGAUUACUUGCUGUAAAUUUUGUGUGGGGUUAAGUUUUCCUAGUGUAUCCACAUAUGUUGGAGUCCAGGAACGAGUUCGGCAAGACGAGGGCGGGCGGCUAAAAAGGUGUGGGCGAGGGUUAUCCGGAAAAGGUUAUCCAUCAUUCAAUCUGAUAAGAGAAUGGAGAUAAAAAAAUUCGCCACAGAUGCCGAAGAAUCAGAAAGCAGCAUGUGCAGCGUGCAAGUAUCAAAGGAGAAAAUGUCCGCUUGAAUGUCCCUUUGCUCCAAUUUUCCCUCGAGAAAGAGAGGAAGAUUUCCAGAAUGUCGCUAGAGUUUUUGGUGCAAACAAUUUCAUCAAGCUAAUGAAAAAAGCUAAGCCGUCAGAUCAACAUAUAGCAGCUGAGGCAAUGAUAAUGGAAGCUAAUGCUAGAGUGUCAGAUCCUGUUCAUGGGUUAGCAAGUUUUGCUGAGACCCUUUCGCAGAAAUUGGAUGUUCUUCUUUCUGAACUUGAUUUGGUUAAUCAACAAAUCCAAUUUCAUCGCCAGAGAAACAAGUUUUGCCAAAACAGUUUUGAUGGAUUUUAGCUAAGGGAGUUUUCAUCAGCAAUAGUGGCGCCAGUCCCAUCUCUGUCGGCUGUCGCUGCAACAACUUAUUGUAACUUAGCCCACCUAAGUUCUAUUCCCUUAAUGUAGGUUCUACCUUCAUCACUUGCAAGAGGUGUGCUCAGAUCUAUCUUGAGAAUGUCUUUCGAGUUGCUGUUAAGAUGCUAGUAGAAAGACUGCAGAGUCUUGUUAUGAUCUGAAAUGAAAAGGAAGAAACUCUUUAUCGAUUAGAAGGGGGUCUGGGUUUGUUCUUUUGUUUUAUUUUCUUAUGGAAGCAUUCUCUAGUUGUUGGUUGUAUUUUUAUUUUAUUUUCCUUUUUUUCAAUUCCCAUUUAGUUUAGAUGAUGAAUAAUGGAAUAAUGCCGUGGAACUUGAAUUAAAUAUUAGAACAUUUCUCGUC